rnacentral:rRNA from 1 species
UACAUGCAAGUCGAGCGAACAGAUAAGGAGCUUGCUCCUUUGACGUUAGCGGCGGACGGGUGAGUAACACGUGGGUAACCUACCUAUAAGACUGGGAUAACUUCGGGAAACCGGAGCUAAUACCGGAUAACAUUUGGAACCGCAUGGUUCUAAAGUGAAAGAUGGUUUUGCUAUCACUUAUAGAUGGACCCGCGCCGUAUUAGCUAGUUGGUAAGGUAACGGCUUACCAAGGCGACGAUACGUAGCCGACCUGAGAGGGUGAUCGKCCACACUGGAMCUGAGACACGGUCCAGACUCCUACGGGAGGCAGCAGUAGGGAAUCUUCCGCAAUGGGCGAAAGCCUGACGGAGCAACGCCGCGUGAGUGAUGAAGGGUUUCGGCUCGUAAAACUCUGUUAUUAGGGAAGAACAAAUGUGUAAGUAACUGUGCACGUCUUGACGGUACCUAAUCAGAAAGCCACGGCUAACUACGUGCCAGCAGCCGCGGUAAUACGUAGGUGGCAAGCGUUAUCCGGAAUUAUUGGGCGUAAAGCGCGCGUAGGCGGUUUCUUAAGUCUGAUGUGAAAGCCCACGGCUCAACCGUGGAGGGUCAUUGGAAACUGGGAAACUUGAGUGCAGAAGAGGAAAGUGGAAUUCCAUGUGUAGCGGUGAAAUGCGCAGAGAUAUGGAGGAACACCAGUGGCGAAGGCGACUUUCUGGUCUGUAACUGACGCUGAUGUGCGAAAGCGUGGGGAUCAAACAGGAUUAGAUACCCUGGUAGUCCACGCCGUAAACGAUGAGUGCUAAGUGUUAGGGGGUUUCCGCCCCUUAGUGCUGCAGCUAACGCAUUAAGCACUCCGCCUGGGGAGUACGACCGCAAGGUUGAAACUCAAAGGAAUUGACGGGGACCCGCACAAGCGGUGGAGCAUGUGGUUUAAUUCGAAGCAACGCGAAGAACCUUACCAAAUCUUGACAUCCUUUGAAAACUCUAGAGAUAGAGCCUUCCCCUUCAGGGGACAAAGUGACAGGUGGUGCAUGGUUGUCGUCAGCUCGUGUCGUGAGAUGUUGGGUUAAGUCCCGCAACGAGCGCAACCCUUAAGCUUAGUUGCCAUCAUUAAGUUGGGCACUCUAGGUUGACUGCCGGUGACAAACCGGAGGAAGGUGGGGAUGACGUCAAAUCAUCAUGCCCCUUAUGAUUUGGGCUACACACGUGCUACAAUGGACAAUACAAAGGGCAGCUAAACCGCGAGGUCAUGCAAAUCCCAUAAAGUUGUUCUCAGUUCGGAUUGUAGUCUGCAACUCGACUACAUGAAGCUGGAAUCGCUAGUAAUCGUAGAUCAGCAUGCUACGGUGAAUACGUUCCCGGGUCUUGUACACACCGCCCGUCACACCACGAGAGUUUGUAACACCCGAAGCCGGUGGAGUAACCAUUUAUGGAGCUAGCCGUCGAAG